GAGAGAGAGAGUGAGGAAAGAAAUAGCCAUAGAGCUUGAGGUCAAGAAGAAUUGAAGGAAGAAGAAAGAAGGGGAUUAAUUCAUGCGCAUUAAAUCAUCAAAUUAAGGUCAUGAGUCAAGGACUGCUUGACCAACCGUUCUGGAAGCCCCCUGUAAGCGUUCUGGAGGACAAGUCUAGAAGGAGUCUUUAGCAAGCCAUCGUUUUGAAGCCUACCGCAUGGUUUUGAGUGCCUCAGAGUUUAGGCUAGGCCUAGAAGGCCUUUGUCAAGCUUUUGAUUGUGAAGCACACUUUUGUUAUGUGCAUAUGUUAUGUAUAAGAUGUUAAGUUAUAAAUUAUGUACUACAUAUGGGUAAAUUAACAUUUUUGUAUGUAAAUAUUUGUUCAUAUAGAUGCACAAC